GACGAACGCUGGCGGCGUGCCUAAUACAUGCAAGUCGAGCGAAGUUUUUCUGGUGCUUGCACUAGAAAAACUUAGCGGCGAACGGGUGAGUAACACGUAAAGAACCUGCCUCAUAGACUGGGACAACUAUUGGAAACGAUAGCUAAUACCGGAUAACAGUAUUUCUCGCAUGAGUGGUAUUUAAAAGUUGGUUAUGCUAACACUAUGAGAUGGCUUUGCGGUGCAUUAGCUAGUUGGUGGGGUAAAGGCCCACCAAGGCGACGAUGCAUAGCCGACCUGAGAGGGUGAUCGGCCACACUGGGACUGAGACACGGCCCAGACUCCUACAGGAGGCAGCAGUAGGGAAUCUUCCGCAAAGGGCGAAAGCCUGACGGAGCAACGCCGCGUGAGUGAAGAAGGAUUUCGGUUCGUAAAGCUCUGUUGUUAGGGAAGAAUGGAUAUGUAGUAACUAUACAUGUAAGAGACGGUACCUAACCAGAAAGCCACGGCUAACUACGUG
rnacentral:rRNA from 1 species